AAAAAGAGGGGGGGGGGGGGGCUAGUUGUCAUAAUUAUUAGUCAAAAAUUCUAUUGGGCUGGUUGUUGAAAUAAGCUUCUAGGGUAUCCACAUUCAGUUUGGUUUAAUGCUGGAAAUUUCUAUCAGUGCUACUUACUCUAGUUCAGUUGUUGUCAGGGGCAUGUCAUUUAUGAGUGUUGUGAUGUCUUCUAUGUUCUUAUUCAUGACAAUCUUCCCAAUCUUGUGAUCACAUUGUUUCUAUUUCUUGUACUUAAAAAUACAUUCAUUCAUCUCAUUAGUUUUUUGAUUCUCAAUGUCAGCACCUAUGAAAUAAACACUUUUCUAAUAAAAUAAUCGCUAGGAGUAGUGACUUCAAUCAUUUAGAAACAAUGACAACCAGCCACUUGGUCAAUAAAACCACCAUGAAAAUAGAAGCUGGAAGUGUAUAAAAUCGAGAAGUACAUAGAAGUCAAAUUCAUAAAGCACUGGUUGUGAAUGUGUAUGUGUUUCUUGUGUGAAUGUUGUUCCAAUUUUUCAUCUAUACUGUUAUUGUACAGUAGUUACGCUGAUAUUGUCAAUUGUAGUCAAACUGAAUUUCCAUUGGAUUGGAUCAAUAAAAUUAUCAUAUCUUAUGUAAAUGCCCAGAAUUUUUUAUGAUUGCCAAUAGUUACAAAAAAGUAGUGUAAAGGAGCAAAUGAGGUUUUAAAAAAAAAAAGCUGGAAAUGUGAUGCAGUAACUGAAAUCCAUUGGUGCACCAGUAUUCACUUAAUACCACUCAACUAGAAAUGUAGGACAUUGUCAACUCCUAAAAUAAAUUUUAAAAAUAACAUGACUGAUUUUUGUAGUCCAAAAAUGAACAACUUAUAAAUAAAGUUAAUAAACCUGUAUAGAUGAACAACCUUAAUGUGUUAAAUAAUUCACAAUGCAAACAAGUGUAUGAAUCAGACUUUCUGACAUUUCUUUCAACUUUCUAGUUCUCAUGACCACAUAUUGAUUCUUGACCUCUGUAAGGUGAAGGAUAGAUUGGAAGUAGAUUACACUUAUAUUUGAGAUUCAUUCCAACAAAUGUUCAUGUCAUCUUUUACAAUCAAUAUGGAGAGAUGUCAAGUUCAUAAUGCCUUGAAAAAAACCCAUAAAAUUCUUUAAAAAUGUUUACAUUUCUACUCACUUAACUGAGGCUAGGUGAUGAAUAAGUGGUGAACCUGGUAACUCAUAGUUAAUAUAAAGAAUACAGGUUAAUAGUUAAUAUAAUAUAAAGAAUACAUCCAAUGGAAAUAUUUGUUCCUUGUGCUAAACAUGAAAUAGAUAUAAUUAUAAUUAUCAAUUUACAUCUCUAAAAACACAUUCAAAAUGUACACGAUAAUUGUAUUAUGUAACCAUUGAAAACAUUUGACAAAAGAUAAAAAACAUGAGAGUCAAGGGAUAUGAAGAUGACAAUGAAAACUUGCCUAGUUUUAGGUGGCGUACUUUAAGGGAGAUAAUAUAUAAGCAUCAUUGUAAGGUACCUAAACUGGAGCAAAGGUUCACAUAUUACAGAGAAACAAAGGCUCAUGGUUAAAUGUCAUACCACAAAAAUAUUUAAAACUUGUUUUAUGCAGGGUAAUAACUAGGGUAAUGGAUAAUACAAUACAAAAGAAUAGAGAUUUCUUUGAAACUGGUUCUUAAUGGGACUAGAGUGCUACUGAAAUGAUGACUUUCUGAAAGAACAAAACCUAAGGAAUGGCACUGAACAUCCAUAUCCAGGAUAGGAAUGGCACAGUGCCACAACACUGACACUUUGAAUGGGUGCUAUGACAUUCUACAGCAUCAAGACGUCAUAGUGCUACAACAUGAUGACUGAUAUGAAAUAGAAACAAUCUAAGUUACAGAAUCAACUUUGGAGACUAAUGGACUAUGGACAUACCAGUGAGAGCAGGCACACACACACAUAACAAGACUAUCUU